rnacentral:tRNA from 1 species
GGAGAAGAAGGCUCAGUGGUUAAGAGCACUGACCCUUCUUCCAGAGGACCUGGGUUCAAUUCCCAGCACCCUCG